rnacentral:rRNA from 1 species
UGGGGAAUUUUGGACAAUGGGCGCAAGCCUGAUCCAGCAAUGCCGCGUGCAGGACGAAGGCCUUCGGGUUGUAAACUGCUUUUGUACGGAGCGAAAAGGCUCUCUCUAAUACAGGGGGCUCAUGACGGUACCGUAAGAAUAAGCACCGGCUAACUACGUGCCAGCAGCCGCGGUAAUACGUAGGGUGCAAGCGUUAAUCGGAAUUACUGGGCGUAAAGCGUGCGCAGGCGGUUAUGUAAGACAGAGGUGAAAUCCCCGGGCUCAACCUGGGAACUGCCUUUGUGACUGCAUAGCUAGAGUACGGCAGAGGGGGAUGGAAUUCCGCGUGUAGCAGUGAAAUGCGUAGAUAUGCGGAGGAACACCGAUGGCGAAGGCAAUCCCCUGGGCCUGUACUGACGCUCAUGCACGAAAGCGUGGGGAGCAAACAGGAUUAGAUACCCUGGUAGUCCACGCCCUAAACGAUGUCAACUGGUUGUUGGGUCUUCACUGACUCAGUAACGAAGCUAACGCGUGAAGUUGACCGCCUGGGGAGUACGGCCGCAAGGUUG